UCAGACGAUGCGUCAUGCAUAUCAAUAAGCGGAGGAAAAGAAACUAACAAGGAUUCCCUUAGUAACGGCGAGUGAAGCGGGAAGAGCUCAAAUUUGAAAUCUUCAAGGUUUUACCUUGACGAAUUGUAGUUUAAAGAAGUGUUUUCUGCUGAAGUUUUGGUAAAAGUUCUUUGGAAUAGGACAUCAUAGAGGGUGAGAAUCCCGUAUUUGACCUUUACUUUCAACUUUGUGAUACACUUUCAAAGAGUCGGAUUGUUUGGGAAUGCAGUCCAAAAUGGGUGGUAAAUUUCAUCUAAAACUAAAUAUUGGCGAGAGACCGAUAGCGAACAAGUACCGUGAGGGAAAGAUGAAGAGAACUUUGAAAAGAGAGUUAAAUAGUACGUGAAAUUGUCAAAAGGGAAGCGUUUAACACCAGUGUUGUUUUCUGAAAAUCAACCUCUGUUAGCUUUAUGCAUGUUUGUUUAGACCUAAUCAGCUAUCUUGCAUGUUCUAUUGUUUGCAGUGGUGCACUUUUCAGUUUACAGGUCAACAUCAGUUUUUUUUACCGUAAAAAAGUUAAAGAAAGGUAGCUCAUGGCUCCGGUCGUGAGUGUUAUAGUCUUUUUCCUAUGCGGUAGGAGAGACUGAGGUCUGCAGUGUAGGCUAUUUGGCUAGAUACUCAGGUGCUAUGUGAUACCAUUUCAUAAACAACUUGUUGAUUAUGUUUUGUCUAUUGCAUACUCGCUUGUACUAUCAUACCUACGCUUAGGAUGUUGACUGAUAUGUAGUCGUA
rnacentral:rRNA from 1 species